CAGAUUCCUCAUGCAACCGGACCUCUUCAGCGAACACUCUUCGGACAAGCUUCUACAUCAGAUAAAUUCCAGACGGACUUCUCUAGCAAUCGAACUCCAGCCGAAUUUCUCCAACAGAAAGUUUUCAUCCGAACUUCUACAGCAGAUGACUUCCAUCUGUAGCAUCAAUGCCUAAGGCACCCAACAAUAGUUAACCUGUCAGCAACCUCAAAAAUAUCCGAGCUUCUCUUAGAUUGCUAAGACAGAGAGCUAUUCCGCUCCACCAGACAUCCCAAUCGAGCUUUAGCUGUCCGACCCGAACUCCCCGAUAAAUCACGACAAUGGACAUCACUCCACUCUCUAUAACAAACUCUACGUGGCCCCACCACUCUCCAGCAAUUCACGACAAUGGACACUACUACUCUCUGUAACAAACUCCACAUGGCCCCAAACGGCCCACGAUCAGGUAGUUACGGACGUCGCUGUCAAUCGGUUACGCUCUCCCAUCUAUAAAAGAGAACCCCA
rnacentral:lncRNA from 1 species